AACGAACGCUGGCGGCAGGCUUAACACUUGCAAGUCGAACGGUAACAGGCCGCAAGGUGCUGACGAGUGGCGAACGGGUGAGUAAUGCAUCGGAACGUGCCCAGUCGUGGGGGAUAACGCAGCGAAAGCUGCGCUAAUACCGCAUACGAUCUAUGGAUGAAAGCGGGGGACCGUAAGGCCUCGCGCGAUUGGAGCGGCCGAUGUCAGAUUAGGUAGUUGGUGGGGUAAAGGCUCACCAAGCCAACGAUCUGUAGCUGGUCUGAGAGGAAGACCAGGCACACUGGGACUGAGACACGGCCCGGACUCCUACGGGAGGCAGCAGUGGGGAAUUUUUGACAAUGGGGGCAACCCUGAUCCAGCAAUGCCGCGUGCAGGAAGAAGGCCUUCGGGUUGUAAACUGCUUUUGUACGGAACGAAACGGCUCUGGUUAAUACCUGGGGCUAAUGACGGUACCGUAAGAAUAAGCACCGGCUAACUACGUGCCAGCAGCCGCCGCAGUAA
rnacentral:rRNA from 1 species